AGCUGGAGUGAUGAGGCGAACCUGUUUGGUGGGGGAUCCUGCAGUGUUGGGACCUUCACUCAGACUCCUGACGACAUGCACAGGGGCCAUCUGACCAGC